rnacentral:ncRNA from 2 species
ACUUUUGCAACAAAUUAUGGUUUCACCAUUUAAGUGAAAUAAUAGGGAAUCUUGUUAAAAACAAGAGCUGUCCCCGCAACUGUAAGCUUUACUAUAAAAAGUAAGUGUACUUAAAAAACCACUGUUCGCCUUGGCGGAUGGGAAGGUAACACAAAAGCAAGCCAGGAGACCUGCCAUAAUCUAGAAUUUUUA